rnacentral:rRNA from 1 species
UAUCGCCUGAAGAGGGGUUUGCGUCUGAUUAGGCAGUUGGUGAGGUAACGGCCCACCAAACCUACGAUCAGUAGCCGGUCUGAGAGGAUGAACGGCCACACUGGAACUGAGACACGGUCCAAACUCCUACGGGAGGCAGCAGUGAGGAAUAUUGGUCAAUGGACGAGAGUCUGAACCAGCCAAGUAGCGUGAAGGAUGACUGCCUAUGGGUUGUAAACUUCUUUUAUACGGGAAUAAGUGAGGCACGUGUGCCUUUUUGUAUGUACCGUAUGAAUAAGGAUCGGCUAACUCCGUGCCAGCAGCCGCGGUAAUACGGAGGAUCCGAGCGUUAUCCGGAUUUAUUGGGUUUAAAGGGAGCGUAGGCGGACGUUUAAGUCAGUUGUGAAAGUUUGCGGCUCAACCGUAAAAUUGCAGUUGAUACUGGGUGUCUUGAGUACAGUAGAGGCAGGCGGAAUUCGUGGUGUAGCGGUGAAAUGCUUAGAUAUCACGAAGAACUCCGAUUGCGAAGGCAGCUUGCUGGACUGUAACUGACGCUGAUGCUCGAAAGUGUGGGUAUCAAACAGGA